AAAUUGAAGAGUUUGAUCAUGGCUCAGAUUGAACGCUGGCGGCAGGCCUAACACAUGCAAGUCGAACGGUAACAGGAAGCAGCUUGCUGCUUCGCUGACGAGUGGCGGACGGGUGAGUAAUGUCUGGGAAACUGCCUGAUGGAGGGGGAUAACUACUGGAAACGGUGGCUAAUACCGCAUAACGUCGCAAGACCAAAGAGGGGGACCUUCGGGCCUCUUGCCAUCAGAUGUGCCCAGAUGGGAUUAGCUGGUUGGUGAGGUAACGGCUCACCAAGGCGACGAUCCCUAGCUGGUCUGAGAGGAUGACCAGCCACACUGGAACUGAGACACGGUCCAGACUCCUACGGGAGGCAGCAGUGGGGAAUAUUGCACAAUGGGCGCAAGCCUGAUGCAGCCAUGCCGCGUGUAUGAAGAAGGCCUUCGGGUUGUAAAGUACUUUCAGCGGGGAGGAAGGUGUUGCGGUUAAUAACCGCAGCAAUUGACGUUACCCGCAGAAGAAGCACCGGCUAACUCCGUGCCAGCAGCCGCGGUAAUACGGAGGGUGCAAGCGUUAAUCGGAAUUACUGGGCGUAAAGCGCACGCAGGCGGUCUGUCAAGUCGGAUGUGAAAUCCCCGGGCUCAACCUGGGAACUGCAUUCGAAACUGGCAGGCUUGAGUCUUGUAGAGGGGGGUAGAAUUCCAGGUGUAGCGGUGAAAUGCGUAGAGAUCUGGAGGAAUACCGGUGGCGAAGGCGGCCCCCUGGACAAAGACUGACGCUCAGGUGCGAAAGCGUGGGGAGCAAACAGGAUUAGAUACCCUGGUAGUCCACGCCGUAAACGAUGUCUACUUGGAGGUUGUGCCCUUGAGGCGUGGCUUCCGGAGCUAACGCGUUAAGUAGACCGCCUGGGGAGUACGGCCGCAAGGUUAAAACUCAAAUGAAUUGACGGGGGCCCGCACAAGCGGUGGAGCAUGUGGUUUAAUUCGAUGCAACGCGAAGAACCUUACCUGGUCUUGACAUCCACGGAAGUUUUCAGAGAUGAGAAUGUGCCUUCGGGAACCGUGAGACAGGUGCUGCAUGGCUGUCGUCAGCUCGUGUUGUGAAAUGUUGGGUUAAGUCCCGCAACGAGCGCAACCCUUAUCCUUUGUUGCCAGCGGUCCGGCCGGGAACUCAAAGGAGACUGCCAGUGAUAAACUGGAGGAAGGUGGGGAUGACGUCAAGUCAUCAUGGCCCUUACGACCAGGGCUACACACGUGCUACAAUGGCGCAUACAAAGAGAAGCGACCUCGCGAGAGCAAGCGGACCUCAUAAAGUGCGUCGUAGUCCGGAUUGGAGUCUGCAACUCGACUCCAUGAAGUCGGAAUCGCUAGUAAUCGUGGAUCAGAAUGCCACGGUGAAUACGUUCCCGGGCCUUGUACACACCGCCCGUCACACCAUGGGAGUGGGUUGCAAAAGAAGUAGGUAGCUUAACCUUCGGGAGGGCGCUUACCACUUUGUGAUUCAUGACUGGGGUGAAGUCGUAACAAGGUAACCGUAGGGGAACCUGCGGUUGGAUCACCUCCUUA
rnacentral:rRNA from 1 species